rnacentral:lncRNA from 1 species
UCCAAUCUGAUAGGCUGACACCUCUACAAUAUAUUAUUAAAAAGGCUCAAAAUGGAACCCCUCCCAUCACAACAAGGUUCUGGCUCCCACAUUUACACAGGGGUUCCUCGAAGACCCUUUUCAGAGAGGUUCCAGGUUCAACUGGAAAGGUUCGGCCAGUGUGGCAGCCCAGAAGCUGGUGGAGUGCCCAACUAGACCAACAUGGACCAAGACAACCAUCAGGAAGAUGGAGAACACAUUUAAGAAGCUGGACACCAACGGGACUUACAAGGCCAUCGGAGAGUUCAAGACCGUCGUCCUGUGGAUCAGUGACAUGAGAGAGAGA